rnacentral:rRNA from 1 species
UACAGAGGGGGCCAGCGUUAUUCGGAAUUACUGGGCGUAAAGGGCUCGUAGGCGGCCAACUAAGUCGGAUGUGAAAUCCCCAGGCUUAACCUGGGAACUGCAUCCGAUACUGGAUGGCUUGAAUUCGGGAGAGGGAUGCAGAAUUCCAGGUGUAGCGGUGAAAUGCGUAGAUAUCUGGAGGAAUACCGGUGGCGAAGGCGGCAUCCUGGACCGACAUUGACGCUGAUGAGCGAAAGCUAGGGGAGCAAACGGG